rnacentral:rRNA from 1 species
AUUGAACGCUGGCGGCAGGCCUAACACAUGAAAGUCGCGCGAGCGGCGGACGGGCGAGUAAUGUAUGGGGACUGCCCGAUAGAGGGGGAUAAAUACUGGAAACGGUGGCUAAUACCGCAUACAAUCGGCUAACACAUAUGGGAUUUGCUAGUAGGUGGGGUAAAGGCUCACCUAGGCAGCGAUCUCUAGCUGGUCUGAGUGGAUGAUCAGCCACACUGGGAGUGAGACACGACCAAGACUCCUACGGAGGCAGCAGUGAGGAAUAUUGCACAAUGGGCGCAAGCCUGAUGCAGCCAUGCCGCGUGUAUGAAGAAGGCCUUAGGGUUGUAAAGUACUUUCAUCGGGGAGGCGUUACCCGCAGAAGAAGCACCGGCUAACUCCAUGCCAGCAGCCGCGGUAAUAC